rnacentral:misc_RNA from 1 species
CGCACAUUGCGCCCUUUGGUAUUCCGAGGGGCACGCCUGUUCGAGCGUCAUUUAGACCAUCAAGCCUAGCUUGGUCUUGGACGCGGUCGAGUGACCCGUCCGCAACCCGUUGGCGGUGCAGUCCGGCUUCAAGCGUAGCAAGAAUUUCGCUUUAGGAGUCCGUGGCGGUGCCUGCCAGGUAAUCACAUCCCAAAGUUUGACCUCGGAUCAGGUGAGGAUACCCGCUGAACUUAA